GAGAGAGAGAAAAGUACAAAAACAAAGCAAUUCCUAUGUCUUGAACUACAUUCGACCUGAUUCCUUUUAAGGAUACGUAGGCAGCCUCAUGGUUUGGUCCCAUCAAAAUAAAAAUUCAAAAGUCCCCCAAGCAAAGAAACUAGGGCAGAAGUUGUGGUUGUUGUAAGAGAUCUGAUUCCAAAAGUUGUAAUUUUGACCCUUUUUAAGCUGUUUUUGAACCUUUAUGAUACGCUUUCUUUCUAAUCCUAUCCAAAAACCUAAAGUACGGUCCAAAGAAAGACCUCCCGAUCAAUCUUUGAGUAGUGCCAAGGCAAGCGAGUUAUAGGUAUGAUUCACAUCAGGGGAAACACUCCGUUCUACACAAGGAAAAGAAAAUGAGGGAGUCUUAUCGGGAAAACCUUCACAGGCACCAUAAGGUGAUAGUCAGUUGAGAGAAAGAACAAAAUGAGAAAGGCUUGAUGGUGAAAUCCCUUCGGACACUACAAGUCAAAUAAGGAUCGUAAAUCGGAUUGGAAAAUUGGAGCAUUGAAGCCCAGUUUCACGGUUUAGGGGUACAAUAAAAGUUGAACAUCAGACUUGCUUGACAGAUUAGGCCACUUAAUCCAAAUGUGCAUGUCAUGGUCAUUAGAGUUGGUAUCCACAUCUGAUAAGUUUCUACUUUAUACUUUUCUUGUUAGGAAUCAUCUCUUUUCAUUGUCACUUACUNNNNNNNNNNNNNNNNNNNNAUUUAUUACCACCAUUCUAAUUGCACAAAUGGAGUCUAGCUAGCACAUCAAAGCGACAUAAGUCAGGAAAGAGUAGUAGGCGCACUGAGUUGGCAACAAUCAACGUGUUUUGCGAUUCAUGAGCAAAAUGCAAUAGAUAGAAGGUAUUGAGUUUGAAUGAAUUAGAGGUAUUGGCUGUGAUAAGGGUGACAUAGAAAGUGGUUUGUCAAUAAACAAGCAAUGUCUUUCAAGUUGAAAUCAAAGUUAUCAUGGCAAGUGAAAGAGCAAUCACCCUCAAAGUCAAGGCCACAAACCAACCACCAUAUUUAAAUUCACAAGUUUUCUUUGUUUGAAACAUGGAUGAAAGCUAUAUUCAUAUCAAAGCUUGGAAGCUUGAAUUUUUCAGGUGUAAUGGCCCAGUUCUGCUUACGCAAAGGCUAUUGAGAAGAUCACACAUCACCCCUAGGAGACGCACUUCCUAGCCUAGGUCUUUCAAGUUAUGUUUUGUUUUAGGAGACACACUUCCUACAUUGAGUUUUUCCCCUAGGAGACGCACUUCCUGGUUUGAAUCAUUUAAGUUUCACCCAUUAGGAGACGCAGUUUCUAGUCAGGGUCUUUCAAGUUAUAUUUUUGUUUUAGGAGACACACUUCCUAAAUUGAGAUUUUACCACUAGGAGACACACUUCCUAUUUGGUUCAUUUGAAGUUUCACCCCUAGGAGACACACUUCCUAGUCUGGGUCNNNNNNNNNNNNNNNNNNNNUGGAUCUUUCAGGAUACACUUUCAGGAGACGCACUUCCUAUAUUGAGAUUUCACCCCUAGGAGACGCACUUCCUAGUCUAGGUUUUUCUGGAUAUACUUUUGGGAGACGCAUUUCCUAAAUUGAGAUUUUACCCCUAGGAGAUGCACUUGCUAGUGUGAGUCAUGCAAGUUUUACCCCUAGGAGAUGCACUUCCUAGUGUGAGUCAUGCAAGUUUUACCCCUAGGAGAUGCAUUUCCUAGUGUGAGUCAUGCAAGUUUUACCUCUAGGAGACGCACUUUCUAGUUUGGUUCAUUCAAGUUUCAGCCUUAGGAGACGCACUUCCUAGUUUGGUUCAUUCAAGUUUCACUCGUAGGAGACGCACUUCCUGAUCUAGGUCUUUCAGGUUUUAUUUUUAGCGGACUCAUUUGUUGGUCAAAGUUUCUUGGUCUUACUCACAGGAGAUACGCAUCCUAGUCGAGUCUCUAGUUUACUUUCAUCAUUGCAUCAAUAGCAUAAGUGGUUUAUAGUUUUGCUAAUAACUCACAAAUCUUCCAAGUGCAAACUGGGGCAGAAAAUUUUGUUUGUUUUGUUGUUUGAUUGCAGGCACCCACCUGGAAAACAAAGGAGUUUGUUUUAGAAUUAUCUCAAGUUUCAACGGAAAGCAGUUACGAAGGAAGACGAGUCAAGUUCAGCAAUCAGACACCCACCUGGAGAAUAAGGGAAGAUAAUUCAAGUUUCAAGGGAAAGCAGUUCAAGUUUCGAAAAAAGACGGUCAAGUUCAGCAAUCAGGGGCCCACCUGGAAAACAAGGGAAGACGGCUCAAGUUUCAAGGGAAAGCAAUUUAGAAGGAAGACAGUUCAAGUUUCAAGGGAAAACAGUUCGAGUUUCAAGGGAAAGAAGUUCAAGUUUCAAAGGAAGACAGUUCAAGUUUUGGCAAUCAGGCACCCACCUGGAAAACAAGGGAAUUCACUUCAGAAUGCAAUUCAAGUCAGCAACAAAAGAAGCUCGCGGCAAGAAUACAAGUCAACGGUCCGAGAUGAUCAACAAAAGUUAGUCACAAUCCAGAAUUAAAAAAAAAAGGCAAGAAGUGAAUCCAAAUGCAGAAGUUGAUGAAAGAUGGGAGCUACUCAAGACAUGACUGAAGUCACAAGCAUGGUGUGUCCGGUUUUGAUCCGAAAAGCUGAAGAAGAAUGAACUAGCACCUACAACUAACAAGCACCAAGGUUCAAAUCUAAAGUCUGCAUGAAGAACCAUUCAAGACUCAAGAUCAAGUUUCAGAAGACUUAUAGAUAGGAAUUUUGUAACUCAUAGUUGACAGGCGUAGUUAGUCUUUUUCAUUUUUUGAUUUUGAUGUAAUAAUAGGAUCGCGGACCGGAACCUCGACAGAACGGCACCUCGAUCCUCUCCACCUCAGUAUACUCCAUCAGCUUAUUCACUUUUGAACUACACGUGGCCUGAUUUCUUUAUAGCGAAGGAUAUGUAGGCAGCUCAGAUACUAGGGCUCGACCACAUUCUCUUUUUUUUAGUUUUUGGUCUCUCUAAAUAAGGGUCGGGUUAAAAAACCUAUCUCGUCGUUCUUUGUCUGAAAAUACUUCGUGUUUCCAAUCAAAGAGGGGCAGCUGUAGACAUGUAAUUUUUGAUCCUCCCCGAGAUUUUUACACCUUUUAGUACUUAAAUAUUUUUUUUAGCUCUAAUAUUGUUAUUUUGCCUAUUUUUGACCUUUUUGCUUUAUUUUCUCUUAAAAUGAAAACUACAAAAAAUAUUUUUUUUUACUUUAGCUAUUUAGUAUUUCUCUAGCAAUUUUUAGUGUAUCUUACUUUGGGUAAAAUUAAAAAAUUGACAAAAAAUAGUCACAUGAUUUUAGAGUAUUAAGUUUUCAUUUUAUUAGUCAUAACUUUGAUUUAGUGAUAUUUAAUACUUGUACUACACGUUGUUUUCCUCUCUUGUAGUUCCUACUUUAUUUUUUAUUUUUUUAAAUUAAAAGGAUUCUACACUUUUAGGAUUAUAUAUAUUAGUAUUUUUCAGCUUUUGUUUUAUCAAGAAAACAAAAAAUAACCAAAAAAAAGUAAAAAAAAUGAGAAGAAUGAAAUCAAAAGAACGGCAAAAGCAGAAUCGAAACAAGAAAUGAAAUAGUGGACGUAGUCUAUUAUCUUCUUCAUUUUCCUUUAAAUAUAUAUAUAUGGAANNNNNNNNNNNNNNNNNNNNNNNNNNNNNNNNNNNNNNNNNNNNNNNNNNNNNNNNNNNNNNNNNNNNNNNNNNNNNNNNNNNNNNNNNNNNNNNNNNNNNNNNNNNNNNNNNNNNNNNNNNNNNNNNNNNNNNNNNNNNNNNNNNNNNNNNNNNNNNNNNNNNNNNNNNNNNNNNNNNNNNNNNNNNNNNNNNNNNNNNNNNNNNNNNNNNNNNNNNNNNNNNNNNNNNNNNNNNNNNNNNNNNNNNNNNNNNNNNNNNNNNNNNNNNNNNNNNNNNNNNNNNNNNNNNNNNNNNNNNNNNNNNNNNNNNNNNNNNNNNNNNNNNNNNNNNNNNNNNNNNNNNNNNNNNNNNNNNNNNNNNNNNNNNNNNNNNNNNNNNNNNNNNNNNNNNNNNNNNNNNNNNNNNNNNNNNNNNNNNNNNNNNNNNNNNNNNNNNNNNNNNNNNNNNNNNNNNNNNNNNNNNNNNNNNNNNNNNNNNNNNNNNNNNNNNNNNNNNNNNNNNNNNNNNNNNNNNNNNNNNNNNNNNNNNNNNNNNNNNNNNNNNNNNNNNNNNNNNNNNNNNNNNNNNNNNNNNNNNNNNNNNNNNNNNNNNNNNNNNNNNNNNNNNNNNNNNNNNNNNNNNNNNNNNNNNNNNNNNNNNNNNNNNNNNNNNNNNNNNNNNNNNNNNNNNNNNNNNNNNNNNNNNNNNNNNNNNNNNNNNNNNNNNNNNNNNNNNNNNNNNNNNNNNNNNNNNNNNNNNNNNNNNNNNNNNNNNNNNNNNNNNNNNNNNNNNNNNNNNNNNNNNNNNNNNNNNNNNNNNNNNNNNNNNNNNNNNNNNNNNNNNNNNNNNNNNNNNNNNNNNNNNNNNNNNNNNNNNNNNNNNNNNNNNUAUAUAUANNUUCCAAUCACCUUUUCACACCUCACCCUUAUACAUAAUUCCUCCAACAAACUUAUCACAUGCACACUACAAUUUCAUACAUACAUGAAUACAGUGAUUUUAGUAGGGGAGGACCACAAAAUAUUCUUUGGGGACCACUCAUAUUCUUUUUUUCUCCCCAAGCACUCACCUAGGCUCACAAUUAAUAUAAAGGGGAUGAGAAGACAGUGAUAAAAAAGAACAGAGAGAGACAGAUAGGAGGAGAUAGAGCAAAAUUGGGGAAAACACAGAUCUGAAGAAAAAAAGCCACACCUCCGUUUUUCUAUUUCAUCUUUUUCCUAAAAUCCUUCAUUAAACCACCCUCAAACACCCCAAAGAGCCCAUUUUUUUGCCAUGAAAGUGCAACCAUGAAACCUUCAUUAAGCCACUCUUAAACUCCAUCAAACAACUCCAAAAUCACUCCAAAACACCAUUGUUUACAGCUGAAAAAUGCAACAAAAUGACCAUUGAAGGAAGCUCCAAAAGCUCACCAAAAGUCAGCAAUAAAGCCACCACAAACACCUCCCAAACCCAGCUCGAAAAUAGCCCCCAAAAGCCUCAAAUUUCAGCCAAAAACUGACCCCAAAAGCACAACAAAGGUAGUUUCAAUUUUCUCCAUUAAUCACGUUGAAGCUCUGUCACCCGAGGUCGCCGGCGAGUUUACCAUGCCUGGUUUGGUUUGUUCGAAUUCUCUCAUUGAGUUUACAUGUUUGUAUUCAAUAAAUCGUCAUGUAUAUAAAAGUUAUUAGGCGGCAAAAAAAAUCCAAAGUGGGAGAUAUAGUUGGGAGCAAAACGGAGUGGCUUCACUGUUCAAGGUAAUAUGAACACCUCACUGUUCUUUGGCUUUUCAGAUGUGCUGUAUACAUAGAUAUUUGUUCAAUAAGCAAUUUGUCCAUGGAUUUAAUGUUUUACUUUGUAUCUUUCUUUGUGUUUUCGUGGAUUGUUAAUUCUGGUAGGUGGGGUCUGCGUCCAUUGAUUUAAUGUUUUACUUUGUAUCUUUCUUUGUAGCUUGCUUUAGACGCGAUUAAUAAAUUAUCGUGGUCAUGGGUACGGUUCUCAUGGCAUGGUCACGAUCCAUAAAUCUAAAUUCAGGUAUGCAUUUCAUAUGAUCCGACCAUAACUUCGAAUAUUAAUAAUAAAAUAAAUAUGUUGUAAAUCGCGGGUGUAUUUCAUGUGACGCGGUUUGCAAUGUGUACGACAAUCAUGAUUUGUUCCAUAAACACUAAAAGCGAUUUGGAAGUUAAAAACGCACGUAGGUUUAAAAUGUGUAAUUAAUCAGAUAAUUAGGCCAAUUAUUAAUAGUUAAGCGACCGUACUAAAAUCACGAAAUUCGGGAAUGUCUAACACCUUCUUCCGGGUUAACAGAAUCCUUACCCGGAUCUCUGUGUUCGUAGACCAUAAAUAGAUUCAAUCUUCCUUGAUUGGGGAUUUUAAAUCGGUGACUUAGGACACCAUAAAUUAUCCCAAGUGACGACUCUGAAUUUUAAAUAAAAUAAUCUCGUUUCGAUUGUCACUUAAAUUGGACAAAACUCCCUUAUACCCCUCCGGGGAUAGUAAAAAAGAGGUAUGACAAAGUAUUUUUUUUAAAGUUAAGGUGUUUGGCCAAGCUCUUAUAAGGAAAAAAAGUGCUUUUGAGCAGAAGCAGUUUUUUAGAAGAGAAAAAAGUAGCCAAAAGUACUUUUGAGAAAAAUACACUUAAAAGCACUUUUUAAAAGCUUGGCCAAAAUAUAUUAUUGUUCAAAAGUGUUUUUCAAAUUAAUUAUCCAAACACAAACUGCUUCUCACCAAAAGUACUUUUUUUAAAACGCACUUUUCAAAAUAAGUUGAUUUUAGAAGCUUGGCCAAAUAGGCUAUAGGAGAUCCAUCUUAUAAUAACAGGGUUUAUGCAUUUGAUGCCAUUUUUUAACCAUGCAAUAAUCUUUUGUUAUUUUCUCUUAUUUGUUUCCAGGGACAGACCAACGUGGGGCCAAGUGGGUCAUCUGAACCUGUUGUUUACCCGUAAAACAGUAUGGCUAAAUUUUAUAAUAUGGUUUAUAGACAAGCGAAUCAAUUUAAUCCCAAAAUAAUAAAUAAAUUAAAUAAAAUGCAAGACUUAGCGUUGAAAUUGAGAUAAGACAACAAACAGCUUGGUUCCCGGAUCAAGGCUUCUGUAGACAACAAUAAGAAUAUUAAUAGACAGAAAAUAAAGUAUUAUUGAGCUUAGAAUAAUAUGUAGCAUAAGUUUGUCAGAAAUUUCGUGUCUUACAAUGGCUGUUGAACUCACUAUUUAUAGCUAUACCUAGGGAACAAGGUCCUAUGAUCAAGCCCCUCUUAAAUGACAAUUAUGGGGGCCAUUGAUGAAGGUGUAAUGGCAGGCUAUGAAUGACAAGAUUCUUUGUAACGGAUUGUGUAUUUAAUAUUGAGAAAUAUUCUUCACUGAAUGUCAUCGGGUGACAAAUAUUCAUUUGUCCUCAUUAGCAAUAUUCCUUUCGGAGUCUACCCAGUGUCAACCGAAGCUACUGUCCAUGGUCUUGGUUUCCACUUGCCUCGUUUUUUGUCUGUCUCUGGCUCCACGUGUCGCCCUAUUAUUCGAGUAUUUAAUAUGAACCAAUUUUACCCUAAACAGAUAGUCCCCCUACUUUCCGGUGGCACAUCUUUGUGUCAUUGGGAAGUUGGUGAAGAUACCUCUCUUGGCGGGAAAUUUUUUGAUCCCUUUUGAAAAGUUUCUGACACUCGAUUAGAUGCACGUCUCUCCGCAUUUGAUGCCCCGAACACUCGUCACUCCACGAUUUUGCAAUAUUUUAACUGGUCUCUAGUUAAUCAUGGUCACGAUUUUAGUCGCCUAUUUCUUUACUUAUACGCCUUAUUCUUCUUCUUUUACGCUUCACAGUUCUUCAAACUCUCUAAACUUCUUUGCAUUCACCUCUUUCUUUCUUUCACUCUUCUUCUUCAAAGAACUCUUAUUUCCUUCUACUAACCAUGACUUCCUUCUCCAAGAAUUCAGGUUCUCUUAAAAAUAAAGAAAACACCGAUGAUGUUGCCCCUCCUACGGUAAGUACCACAUUCCCAGAAGACUUAAAACAACCAAGGAUUUCGAAGAGAAGUUUUCUUCUACAAGCUCUCGUACAUGGGCUGUUGGUGGAUACCCUUCUUCCAUCCAUCCUUCUUGCAUUCCUGCCGUGGAGGAGGAUUAUGAUUGCCAUGAUCUGAACAUCAUCGCUCCCGAACUGGUGAAGCAAGUAACCUUUCCGAAGAAAGGUUUUAUGUACGUCUAUACGUACCCAUUUACUUUGGGUGCGUUUUCUUUGAGCGGGGGAAUUGACCCCAUGAUUUUGGAGCUAUGCCACAAAUACCAAAUUGUUUUGGUACAGGUGGGCCCUUCGGUCUCGCAAACGAUAACCUAUCUACGGCAGCUAUGCUAGGAGAUGAAUGAAGAGCUCACCUUGGCUCGCAUGAGGAACCUCUACUCCCCCAAGAUUUUCCGUGGGGGAGUAAUAAAUUUUAUCAAAUGUGACCACCAUGCUUUGCUCAGCAACAUGGAUGACGACAAAGACCAUGGAUUGAUGGAGCGGUUCAUUAUUGUUGCCACCAGGGAUAUCAUCCCAGCCAUAACUCCAUCUUUCCCUGAGUCUUGGACUCAUACACAUAAGUUCAAACUCUAUCUUUUCUUUGAAAAAAGGUUAUUUCGUGUUGUUACUUAUCCUUCUCUUUUUAUUAUUUCAACAACUCGGUGGACAUCACCAAGGGUUGAAGGCUUGGACCAGUGGGUUCAGAAUAUUCUAGAUAUUACCACGCCUGAGACCUACCGGUGGAAAGAACAGGCCCUAAAAUACGGGUGGAAGACCAAAAAUCACAAUAAGUUGACUCGUGAGAUUGAUUUUAUCCUCAUCUCAUUUUUUGUGUAAGAAAAUUGGUUAACUUCUUUUUUUCGUUGAAUUCAGGUCUUCCGCAGGGCUCUUUUACCAUCCCCGAUGAGGAUGUUCUGGCUGAUCCUGCAGAGGCUGCGAGGUUACUGAAGGAGGCCUUCACCCGAAUAGGCUCCAUCAGAUCCUCUUUUGAUGCAAGUGCUUCCUCUCGGAGUCCCUGGCCAGAGAACAAGCAACCAAAAAGGUGGCACUCUUCCUCGGCCGAGAGCAAAAAUAAAAAAGGUGAAGAGCGUUGCACCCGAGCCAGCCGCAGUCACUAAAGUGAUUAAUGAUGAUGGGGAAGCCAGUGAUGAAGGGGCUUCCUUAUAGAGGAGGCAACGACCUUCAUCAGCUCAAUAGAAUGCUCAAUCUUGAGAGCUUAUAACACCAACCGAGGACGACGCCCAAGCGCUCUAGGGAGAGUAUGACCUAGUGGAGAAUGUCAAUUCUCCCUUUCGAGCUCCAAUCGAUGUUCCUGGUACUAUGAGGCUGAGUAUCGGGCCUCUUCCGUCUUGGGUUGAUGAGAAACUGAUCGGAGCCAACCCUAUACUAUUAUAGAAUGGCAAGAACGGUCAAGAGUUGAAUCAACUCAUCAAGGAAACUCUUUCUAUAACAUUGGUCAUUGUGGAACCCAAACUCAUACUCCUAGAUUCUCCAUAUGCAAACCUCACUGUUAGAUUGUAGUACUCAGAACGAGGAUUGUGGAAAACAUACUCAUCUCUCUCAAAGGAAGGUCACAAGUCCGGCUCUAAGUACCAUAAACUUGCCCCUUAUGUGAGUCACCACUAAUGUAAGCUCACUCAACUCUAGAUCAUAUAGGGUUUUUGUGGGAAUGUAAUGAAGGCUUUUGUUUCAGGGUAGGAAAUAUUGGUCUAUGAAGGUUUCAUCUUUCCUUAAGCACUUCAUUUGCUUCAUUUUGGCUCACAUUUUCUUGACUCUUUGAGUCAUUUACUUCUUCUUUAGGGGAUAGAGAGAUACACUGUCACUCUUUCUUGUUCAUUUCAAUCCUCUUUCUCCUUUCUAAUCUUUCCAAGCCUUUCAUCUUUUGCUUUUAAUGAAUCCCUUCAUUUCUUCUACAUUGUUCACUUUCUUUUUGGCUUUUUGGCUUUUUCUUUCUUUUUCUUUUUGCCUUCCUUUUCUUCAUUUUGUACCUUUUAUCACUUUUGCAUUCCUCGUCUCUCCCCCCAAACUUAUGCUUUUGCCUUGUGCUAAGGAAAGAUCGAGUGGCAAUAGAGGAUCAUUUUAGAAUGGAUAAAAUCUUGUAUCAUGGUUAUUGAAAGAAUAAGGGCUAUGGCUCAACGGGGUUGACUAGGGAUGUCAUUCUUGGUGGGAUAUGGAUGUUUUCAAGCCUCAAUUUGGAUCAAGGAAAGCCUAUAAUCACUUCUCAAGUCGAGAUACACUUAGGAUUUUGCCUAGACAAAUAUUCAGGGCAAGUUCUAGACUUAUUGGUGUGGGAUUUGGACUCGCAAAUCAAUACCUCACCACACAAGCUAUAGGAUUGCUAAAGAGAUAGAGUCGGGGCCCACAAAAACCUUAGCUAAGAUUUGAUCAACACAAAUGGUUCCGAGAAACCACUCAAUGAUUGUUUAGUCAACACAAGAGUCUCAAGGUCACAACUAUCACCAUUCUAUACACACCAAUUCUUUUUUAACCAUAAGGUCAAAGGUUUGCCUGAGGCACUAUUUUUCACUAGCUACUAUUUACUCAAAAACGAAAAGAAAACAGAUUCAAACCCUUAAGAAGGUUGUCAUGCCAUCCAUCAUCGGGAAGAGCCACCCGGUUCACACAAACUACACCUUUGGAAGAACCAUGGCAUUAAGAAAACCAAAGGCUUAUUGAUCACAAAAACUUGUAAAAUAAGAAGCUACAAACCGAAAAAGAAGCUACUAAAUGAAACAAAAAGCUAUGCUAUUAAGGAAACUUGCAAAAGAAGUUAUGAAGUAAAAUAUGGAAAGUAAACUAAAUAUAUACAAUAGGGGAUUGAGACGAAUAUACAUAAGAGGGAAUGAAUAUAUACAUGGAAAAGUAACUUUAUAUACAUUCAAAAAUUGAAAAAUAACGAAAAGUAAGAAAAUAAAUGGUAAAGUUAUAUAUAUACCAAAAGUGAAAAAUAAGCAUAAAGAAAAGUAUUAUCAUCAUUACAAACCAACUAUCAAAUCAUCAAAGUAGGACCACCCCCUCAAAUAAAAACUAGCAUUGUCCUUAGUGCUAAAUAACCAAAAAUUGGAUCCUGAGGGAGGUGCCUUAGGCCAGCCAGGUGAUCCAGGGACCUAGCCAUAGGACCCCAUGCAGACAGAGGACCCAUAGGGAGUUUUCUUUACUCUCUACUCUUCUUUUUGAUCUUCUCCAACUCAAUCUCUACAUCAUCAACCCGAGGCAUCACUCUCUUCCUCUUGGGCUCUCUCUCAGUCUCCUGCUCCUGAACCUGCUCUGUCUGAGCUGCUGGAAGCUGGUUCUGUAAUAGUAGCUCCAAUGGUAAGUGGUCAGCUGACUUCAUCUUCUCCACCUCUCCCCUUAAUUGUUUCACCGACUCCUUCGAGGCCCAAGUCUUUUUCAGCUUCUUUGUCUGCUUGCUCAGCUCCUUAAGUGUUUUUCCUUGAACUGCAAAAGCAUCCAUGAUAAGCUUUUGGUUCUCCAGGAGCUUCUUCUGGUUGUCCAGAAGCUCCUUGAGAGACUCCUCCACUGAAGCUGGUACCUGGGGCUGUGUGGGAACUGACUGGGUUGUCACUGAACUAGAUAGCACAGAUAGCUUAGAAGUUGCUGCAUGUAUCCAGUUGUUGAUGCUGGAGAGUGUUUGGUUCAACCUAUGAUUAGUCAAAGGGUAUGUUGAUGAUGAUGGUACUGCAGACGACAUGAAAGUAGAUGGUCCGAAGGCAGGAUCCGGUAUGGUAGUGGGAAGCUAUGAAGUAGUGACUACCACUUCUGGCUCUUCAGACUGGCCAGUAGAAGUAGUAACUUUGCCCUUGGAUCCUUUGGAUUUGGGGUUGCCUGGACCCUGAAGGAUAUACCGUGAGAAGGGUUUCUUGGGCUUUACCAUGAUAUCGAAAUCUCUUUCCUCCACCUCCUAAUCCUCCAAGUACAUGGUGAGGAAGUUCAGGAAGGGGUAAUAUCUAUCACCCUUGUUGACUACUCUAGUGAUCACCCUAGACAUGAUAUUACCGACAUUGAUCGGGAACCCCACCAUGAUAGCCGCCACUACAAUCGCCUGGGAAAUCGACAUGUCACUAUCUUGAGUUGUGGGGUCUAGUUUGUUGCAUACAAAGGUCUCUCAACCCUUUGCCUCAAAGUUCAGGGUGUUCCUCAAGAUAUGAACCCCUGCUGCCAACCAUGCUGGAGUAGUAUCUGGGAGGGCAAGUAGUGAUGCCAACCACGGGCGAGUUGCUUCAUUCAUUGCCACCUUCUCUAAGUACAGCGACUCAUUUUCAUCAUUGAAACCAAGAUACUCAUUCAGAGUCUUUCUGUCAAAUUUGACCUUCAGGUUCCGCACCUUAGUCACAAAUGUGCCCUUUUUGAUGUGGGAGGCAUUGGCAUAGAAAUCCUUGACUAGGUGCUCAUUAGCAUCCAGCACAUUGCUAGUGAAGUAUUCCUAGCCCACUCUUUCAUUGAAGUGCUGCUUCACAUUGGGGUUAUGGGGUAGAAGAUCCCGCUUUAUGAACUGACGCUCAUGUAUAAGUGACUUUUGAGGCCACCACUCCCUGAAUUUGUGAUAUGCCAACUCACUGACAAACUACUAUUGCCACACCUCUAGGUUUCUUGUCCUUUCCACACCUCUGGUCUAGGUAUCACCCCAUUUCCCAUCAUCCAGUACCUCAGCAUUUACAUCUAUGGGAUCCUGUCGAGGUCAUAAAGCUGUAGGUGAGGUUGAAGCUGAGCCAUUACUACUCUCUGCUGAGCCAUCAGAUGACUCAGAAGAAACAUAAACAGAAACAUGAGUAGUAGGAGAGGAUGGGGGUGUAGGCUCGUCUGUCAAUCUAAGUCUCUCCGGGAAGUCUGGUACAUGUAUCGGUACAAAGCUACUCUCUAAGGCCUCUUGGGAGGGAACAUACUCACUCCCCUCGGAGUGGGAUGCAACUCUGUUUGUAGCUUUGAUAUUUUUCCUCAUUUGCCCAAUUGAUUUUUGUACUGUUGGGGUUAACUUAAUUUAUCCUCGUCCCCUACGCCGGGAGGACUCUCCUUUCCCCUUUUGUUUCUCACCGCCACCUCUAGAUUUAACCAUUAUCUGCAAAUAUAAUCAGCGGAAAAUUAUUAGUACUGGUGUUAGAAAAAGCAGUGAAGAAAAGUAGAAGAACAGUUGACAGUUCUUGAAAAAAAUUACAGACCGCUGAUAGUGGAAAAAGGAGCGCGGCAGCGGAAUGAGCACCACUGACCCCGAAAAACGCAGUGCGGACCGCGGAGGUGUGGGGAUCAGACUACCCACCCUCUGAUUCUAUGUUACCACUGGGCACAAAAAAUUGGGCACGGCCGCGGAAGUGCACCGGUGUUUGUAAAAAAUCAAUCGCGGCCGCGGACCCAUGUUAUGUUCUCUGAACCUAAGCACCGCUAACCGCAAAAAAAUAAUCGCGGCGGCAGAAUUCAAAAACGGCCUGAGUCAACCUAGGGUUUCAAAUUUUUCAUGCAUUUAGCAAGAUCAUCUACAUUGUUAACCCUAAGUAGCUAUUAAUUAAUAAGUCCUAACUAGUUUAAGCCUAAUUUAAUAAAUAUUAAUGAACCCUAGGUCAAAAUUUAAAAGAGAAGAAGAAGAAGAAGUAAAAACUACUAACUAAAAGAAAAACAAAUACAAAAUUAAAGAAUAAUGAAGGAGUGAAAUCACCAGAUGUGUAAUGUGCGAUGAAAAUGGACUCUAAUUUUGUGUUUUGCAGAUUAAGGUGUGGAUGAACAAUGAUAAUUUUACUAUGAGAGUCAAAUGAGCGAAAAGGUUAAAAGGCUUCCUGAACUCCUAUUUAUAGAAAUACCCUGGGACCCACCAUACUUACCCGACGCGAUCGCGGUAAAUCACUAUGGUUCGCGCUUGUGAAGAACAGAAGACCUGCUUGAGUUAAACUACCGCUGAGAGCAGUAAAUGAUACGCUGCCGCGGUUAGGCACUGCUGACCGCAAAGAAAGCACCACGGACGUGGUUGAAACUUCAAAGAGGUCUCAUUUUGGAAUUUUCAGUCCCGCAUCCACCGCCAAUUUAUGCCUCCGCGAUAAGGCCACUGCUGACAGCGGAAAAUAGAGCACUGUCAGCGGUGUAACUUCAGACUGUUGCAUAACUUUUCCAGGUUAGUCCUACAUUGAAUCAAAUAUUCCUACAUACAUCUCACAACCAGUUAGUUCAAAACAAAGCCUACACUAAGAAGAAAAUCAUAAAGAAGAAAAACACAUGGGUUGCCUCCCAAGAAGCGCCUGAUUUAACGUCGCGGCACAACGCAGGUUACCAUUAAUCAUUUGAGAUAGAUCAUUGCCACCACGUGACUGUUAUCAAACUUUCCAAGAUAAUGCUUCACUCUGUGCCCAUUAACUCUGAAGAUUUCACCAUUUUUAUUUUUCAAAUCAAGAGUACCAAACGGAGUUACAAGCACCACCUCAAAAGGUCCACUCCAUUUUAACUUGAGUUUCCCGGAAACAGUCGUCAGUGGGAGUUGAAUAAGAGAACCAAGUCACCUUCCUUGAAUUCCUUGCUACGGGCAUACUUGUCAUGUAGGUACUUCAUCUUGUCCUUAUAUAAGGACGAGCUGGAAUAAGCAUGAAACCGGAACUCAUCAAGCUCAUUGAGUUGCUCCACCCGGAGAUUUGCUGCAAUAUCCCAUUCAAGAUUUAACUUUCUCAAAGCCCACAUAGACUUGUGCUCUAACUCAACCGGUAGAUGGAAAGCUUUCCCAAACACCAACCAGCACGUAGACAUACCAAUCAGAGUCUUAUAAGUAGUCCUGUAAGCCCAUAAAGCAUCAUCCAGUUUCUUUGACCAGUCAGUCCUAUUUGUAUUGACAGUCUUUGAUAAUAUGCUCUUAAUCUCCCUGUUGGAGACCUCAACUUGCCCACUAGCCUGAAGAUGGUAAGGAGUUGAAACCUUGUGAUUGACACCAUACCUUGCAAGCAAAGUAUCAAAUGCCUUAUUGUAGAAAUGAGAACCCCCAUCAUUGAUGAUAUCUCUAGGAGUGCCAAACCGAGUAAAGAUAUUCUUCUUGAGAAAAGCCACCACACUCCGGACCUCGUUGUUGGGUAAAGCCACGGCCUCAACCCAUUUGGAAACAUAAUCAACAUCCACCAGAAUGUAUGUGUUGCCACAUGAACUUACAAAAGGUCCCAUAAAGUCAAUGCCUCACACGUCAAAUAUGUCAACCUCAAGAAUAUUGGUGAGAGGAAUUUCAUCCUUCUUUGAAAUUCCACCUGCUCUCUGACACUCAUCACAUCUCUUCAUAAGCUCACCCACAUCCUUGUACAUUGUAGGCCAAUAAAAUCCACAUCUAAGCACCUUUGAAGCUGUUCUCGCCCCACCAUGGUGACCACCGUAGGGAGAGGAAUGACAAGCAUCAAGAAUAUUCAUUUUCUCCUCUUCUGGAACACAUCUUCGGAUAACACCAUCAUUACAAAUUUUAAAUAAAUAAGGAUCAUCCCAGUAAUAGCAAGCUAUCCCGUUUGAGCUUCUUCCUUUGGUUAGAAGAGAGCUCACACAAAAUAAUACCAGUCACAAGAAAAUUGGUCACAUCCGCGAACCAAGGCAUGAUAUUCACAGAUACGGAGAUGAGUUGCUCAUUAGGGAAUGGAUCAUUAAUUUCAAGGCCAUCACAAGGCCUCCCCUCUUCCUCCAAGCGGGACAAGUGGUCCGCCACUUGGUUUUCACUUCCUUUUCGAUCAACAAUCUCAAGGUCAAACUCUUGAAGUAAUAGAACCCAUCUCAUCAACCUUGCCUUGGAGUCCUUCUUUGUUAUCAAGUAGCGGAGUGGUGUAAGGUCAGUAUGAACUAUCACCUUGGCACCCAUGAGAUAAGGCCUAAACUUCUCCAUCGCAAACACAAUUGCUAGCAACUCUUUUUCAGUCACCGUGUAAUUCACUUGAGCAUCAUUCAUUGUCUUACUUGCAUAAUACACCAUGUGAAACAUCUUGUUUACUCUUUGACCCAAGACCGCUCCUACCGCAACAUCACUUGCAUCACACAUGAGCUCAAAAGGUAAGCUCCAAUUGGGUGCGGUAAUAAUGGGAUUGGUUGUCAAUUUGUACUUGAGAAGUUCAAAAACUUUCAUGCAUUCCUUAUUAAACACGAACUUUGCAUCCUUUUCCAAUAAUUUGCAUAAAGGAUUCACUACCUUAGAAAAGUCUUUGAUGAAUCUUCGGUAGAACCCCGCAUGCCCAAGAAAACUCCUAACCCCCUUAACUGAAAUGGAGGAGAAAGCUUUGAAAUCACUUCAAUUUUCGCCUUGUCCACCUCAAUACCAUUCUUUAAGAUCUUAUGGCCGAGUACAAUGCCCUCCUCGACCAUAAAGUGGCAUUUCUCCCAAUUAAGCACUAGAUUUGUCUCCUCACAUCGGGCUAACACUUUGUCAAGAUUCUUCAAACACUCUUCAAAAGAGUCACCCACAACACUGAAAUCAUCCACGAACACUUCCAAGAAGUCCUCUACCAUGUCAGUAAAUAUAGCCAUCAUACAUCGCUGAAAGGUAGCCGGUGCAUUACACAAACCAAACGACAUCCUAGAAAAUGCAAAAGGUGCCAUACAGACAUGUGAAAGUGGUUUUCUCCUGAUCUUCUGAAGCAAUCAAAAUCUGGUUGUAACUUGAGUACCCAUCUAAAAAGUAAUAGAAGGCACACCCAGCAAGUCUAUCCAGCAUCUGGUCAAGAAAUGGCAAUGGAAAAUGAUCCUUGCAGGUCACUUUAUUCAACUUCCGGUAGUCCAUGCUCACCCUCCAUCCGAUGAUAAUUCUGGUGGGAAUCAACUCAUUUUUCUUAUUGGUGACCACAGUCAUACCACCCUUCUUCGGCAAAGGCAAAGGCUUCAACUCCAAAAUAGGAGGUUUCUCGAUUGAGGGUUUUGUUGGUGGAGUCUUUCUAUUCUUAAGAUCCAUAGAAAGCUUAAGAGGCUCAUAAGAAUAAGAACUCAUCCCGUGCAAAGCAUUGACAUACUCCACCCUACCUUCAUCCUUAUUCAUAUCAAGGUUCAACAAUACCGCUUCUAAAGGAUCCUCCACAUUGACCAUGGCACUAGUAUCAUCAACUAUCACCUCUGUAAUAAGAUCCACAAAAGAGCAAACUUCAGUACUAUUCGGCUACCUCAUUGAUUUGCAUACAUGAAAGACAACUUUUUAGUCACCACCCGGAAGGUGAGCUCCCAUGCUUCCACAUCAACCAAUGCCUUCCCAGUUGCUAGGAAAGGCCUUCCCAAUAUUAUAGGCACCUCAUAGUCGACUUCGUAGUCAAGAAUCACAAAAUUAACAGGCAAAAUAAACGUGUCCAGUCGGACAAGAACAUCAUCAAUAAUUCCAAACGGCCUCUUCAUUGUUUUAUCCACCAUUUGCAAUCUUAUUGAAGUAGGUCUCGGUUGACUAAUACCUAAAGUUUUGAACAUGGAUUAAGGCAUCAAAUUGAUGCUUGCUCCCAAAUCACACAAAGCCUUUGCAAAAUCCGCAUUCCCAAUGGUACAAGGAAUGGUGAAAGCGUCAGGAUCUUCAAGCUUUGGAGCCAUCAAGUGCACAAUUGCACUUACUUGAUGAGUCAUUUAGAUGGUCUCACAAUCCAUAGAUCUCUUUUUAGUCACCAAGUCUUUCAUAAACUUGGCGUAACCCGGCAUUUGCUCAAGAGCUUCCACCAAAGGAACAUUGAUCGACAAGCUUUUCAUCAUCUCAAUAAACUUCUUAAAUUGGUUUUCAUUCUUUUUCUUCGCAAGUCUUUAAGGGUAAGGUAGAGGAAGCCUUGGCAAGGGAGCCUUAUCCUUGGCACUACCAUUUCUGACAUAUCUAUCACGUGUUUCCUAGACGGGUUCACGUCAUUUUGAGUCUCCACCUCAUUAUCGUGAAUAUCAAUUCUCACUUCAGCAUUCAAAUUCUCUUCACUCACUUGCUCAUCAACUAUAGGAAUAUCAUCAUCUUGUACUUCAACCUCAUCACUCACAACUUUCUUUUGCUUGGAGGUAUUCACUUCAACACCUCGACCGCUUCUGGUAACUACCGCCAUUGCAUGCCCGGUAUUGUUCUCACCCUUCGGGUUUACUACCGUAUCACUAGGUAGAGCCCUCUUAGGGAGAGUAUUCAAAGAUUGUGAAAUCUGGCCAAGUUGAACCUCCAAGUUUCAGAUUGAAGUAUUAUGGGAUGCCAACUAGGCAUCAGAGUCGACAUUAUUUUUCAUCAUUUGUUCAAACAUCAUCUCGAUCCUUCCUAUCUCAUUGUUUGACGAGCUAGGACAUUGGGACAAAAAUGGAGGCGAGUUGUUUGGUUGUUGAUACAUCGGAGGUCUUUGAAAGACUUGCCCCCGAUUCCCUUGAUUGCCAUUAUUCCAACCCCCUUGGUUGUUGUUUCCUCCCCAAUUGUUGUUGUUGUUGUCACUCCAAUUGCCCUGGUUGUUCUGGUUGCCCCAAUUCUGAUUGUUGUUCCCCCAGUUGCUAUUUCCCUGUUGGUUUUGAUUUCCCCAAUUUCCUUGGGAUCUUCACUGUUGUGGUUGGUUAGGAGCAUUGCCCUUUUGUCCUUGGUAAUUGUUCACGUACUGGACUUCUUCACUUUGCUCAUCAUACCCAUCAUCUUGGUUGAAACCACUGCUACCUUGCUCAUAUUGAUCUGGAUUUCCCUGAAUUUGUUGACCUCUUUGUCACCUCUUAUUGACCAACAUUUUUACACCUUCCAUAGCAUUUACUUGUCUCGGAGCUUGAACUUGCCGCAAUUGAGCUUUAGCCAAUUGGUUCAUUGUUGUAGUCAAUUCUGCUAUUGCUUGGUCGUGAUCGUGGAGCUCUUUGUGUAGGUGAAUGAUAGUGGGAUCACCCUGUGGCACAUUAGCUCGACUUUGCCAAGCUGAGGAAGUAUCAGCCAUCUCAUCAAGAAUAUCAUAGGCCUCAGCAUAAGGCAGCUUCAUAAAAUUACCCCCUGCUAGCUGGUUCACCACACAUUGAUUGGUCGUGUUUAUACCUCAAUAAAAUGUCUGUUGAAUCAUUGCUUCAUUCAUAUCAUUGUUGGGGCAUUCUUUGACCAUUGUACUGUAUCUAUCCCAUAUUUCAUAAAGGGACUCAUUUGGUUCCUGUUUGAAUGCUAAGAUUACAUCCCUCAAUGCAGCCACAUGUCCCAGUGAGAAAAACUUGGCUAUGAACUUAUUGCCCAACUCAUCCCAUGUAGUGAUAGAGUGGUUGGGGAGGCUCUUGAGCCAGUCCAAUUCUUUCCUUCUAAGUGAUAAGGGAACAAUCUCAGUCUCAAUGCAUCCUCCGACACAUUAGUUUGUUUGCUUCCCCAGCAGGUAUCCACAAAGCCCUUUAGAUGUUUAUAUGCAUUCUGAUGGGGAGCACUUAUGAAGUACCCUCGUUGCUCCAAUAAAGUCAAUAUCACAUCUAUAAUUUGGAAAUUGCCCGCCCGGAUCCGGGGUGGGACAAUUGCACUUGCAUAUCCUUCAUUUGGAAGCACCCGAGAAGCAACUCUUGGAGGAGGCGGGGGAGGGUCUGGAACAUUGUCAUUAGCCUGGUGGCCUCUUCUUUGACCUUGAGGUACUAGAUGCACAUCAUCUUUAUCAUUAUCAUCUACCUCCUCCCUCGGUAUAGCAUUUCCAAGAUUAUCGUUGUUUGCCAUUUUGUACCUGAAUCGAUUAACUCACACAAGUUAGUUAAACAGAAGGAAAGAAAAACAAGAUACAAAACUAGUCAGAUAGAUAGCCAAAACUGUUUAGCUCCCCGACAACAGCGCCAAAAUGUGAUCGGAGCCAACCCUAUACCACUAUAGAAUGGCAAGAGCGGUCGAUGCAGCUUUUACCCGAAAGGUCGGGAUCGAAUCCACAGAGAGCUAAGAUAGGUUUGGAGUUGGGUUUCUAUCUAAUCUAGCAGUGUACGAUGUUCUUAAUUGCACUUUCAAUCAUUCUUUGUUUGUUUACUAUUCUACUUUAAUACUAAUGAAUCAGGAAAAUAAGCUAAGUAUGAUAUUUUUUUGUAAGGUUUUCUUAAUUGGUCUAAAGGCAGUAGGGAAGUGACUUACACCUAGGUGGGUAUCUAAUGGGGUCUAAAACUUAGGGCAGACUUGUUUUAAUUGGGAUCAUGAUAUAGCCAUUGCACGUGACUACUCACUCUAUACCUCUCGGUAGUUUGAGUGACUUUGUCCUAAUUGACUUUCUCAAGCCAAAUUGGGUAUAAAACAAUGCAAGCAAAUUUGGCUCAAGUCGGGUAUUACUAUCUCUAGGUUUAACCAUUUAAUUGGGGCUAUCAAUCUCUUGAAUGCACCCCAAUUCCUUGUUGGCAUAAACUUCCUAGACUUAGUCUCUCUUUCUCAAGAAGAGCCUAAGUCAAAAGGCACAAAUCAGUGUUUGCAACCACCAAUUUAACAUUUAAAGAAUAAAUCAAGCCAAAUAUCAUUCACCCAUAAACGUUUAAGCCCUAAAAUUAAAGACCCAUUAAAUACCCACACUAGGGUUAAGCCACAACCCUAGCUAAUGGGUUUAGCUACUUAUAAUCAAAGAAGAAAUCAAAGAUGGAGAUGAAUUAUAAGCCAUAAAAAGUAAUUACAAGAUUAAAAUCUAAGAUUAAUUGCUAAAGAUGUUCUAAAAAUACUCAAAAAGGUAAAAGGAGGCGGUUUCACGUGCUCUACAAAACAACAGAUGACCUAAAAAUCUGAAAAAGAACUAUUUAUACACAGCUAAAUUUUUUGGACAAAAAUGCCCUAUGGAGGUUCUGCUGAUAGCGGAAAAUGGACCGCUGCAGCGCUAUGACUAGCGCGGCUGUGCAAAAGCCACCGCGGACUGCGGUCUUCAGUUUUUAGCUCCACUUCUGGUUCUCUGAUUCUCACUUCCGCUGAGGGCGAUAACUUGACCACUGCCGCGCAAAAGCCACUACUGCCGUGCAAUUUCACCACGAGUAGCAGUAACUUGUUAAGCCCAAAAUUACAGCUCUCUGAACCUUGCCACCACUGAGAGCGAAAUCAAGACCGCCUCAGCGGUGGACCCUCCGCGUCCGCGUUUGUUUCUAUGUUGUCAGCGCUCUUUUGACCCAACUUUUGAACUUGUGCAGGUUUCACUCCUUUUUGAAAUGGUUAUGACUUCCUUGUCUCUUUUUGACCAAACACUGCAAACAAACACAAUAAGUUAGCUUUUGGGAAUACUUGUACACACUUUUAAUCCAAAACCUAACCAAAAAGGAGCAUAAAAUAGGCUAGAAUCCCUAGUUAUCAGCAACCUACAACCAGUGAUAGCAAAUAAAUAAUCAGAGGACAGAACAAAAUCUUAAAUUCAUUUGCCAAUAGAAAUCAAUGGAGUCUCGCUUGAUGCUGGGGAGAUGAGAUCUAUAGUUGGGGAUAUAGUCUCGCUUAUAGAGGCAGAGUACACGCGCUAGCGUGCUGCCUUUGCCGUGACUGCUUCUCAACCCACAACACCAUCAGCUUCAUCUUAUCCCAUAUCGAUUAUACCUUCGUCACCAGUAACUGCUACAUUACCCCCAUUGGCCGCAAACACCCGAUAGGAGUAUGUCCCUCCUCCCAGUCCCAGACUAUGGAAAUUUGGGACAUAACUAUUCGACUCCUCUGCAGAUCCCCAGAGGAGGAAGAGUGUUUCCCUCUCGAUUUCUACCGAGUGCCAUCUGCUGACCUGGCCAGUGGAACUCACCAAUUACCUAAAGUCGUUGGUUUCAAAGAAAGACAAGAAGAACACUCUCUUUCGAGGGAGUGUAUGAUAAAUAAGGUCAUGCACAAUGCAGCAGUGGUAUGGUACUCGUUCUCUUUACUGUAUGCUUUCUCUUGAUUUGUUAUGAUAGGAUUUCUAACUUGGGUUUUUUGUUCGCAUGCCAACUUCCUUUCUUCUGAGGGCCUUCAGAAGUUGAUCCAUGAUAAAGAGAAGCUUACGUCCGAGCGGGAUCAACUGUUGGUCGAGAGGGGCCAAGUUGUUUCUCGUCUCCCGGUACUGGAAGCACAAGUUGCUAAAGCCGGUGAGUUAGAGGCUCGGUUGUAGCAGAGCGAGAAGAAAGUGAUGGCCCUCAGCCAAGAGGCUCCCAGUUAAGUGUACAAUUUCAAGAAUCCAAGGCUAAAUGGUCUGAGGUGCAAAAUAUUGUACUUGUUGCUGUCGAGUGCGAGGCUGACUCUACUAAGAUAUUGAAUAACUUGGAGGCUGCCUUGAACUCCAAAACUGAAGAGGCUGCUGCUGCUGAGGAGAAGCGUGCCCAGUUGGAGGAGAAGUACAAUAGGGUCAUGUAACACAAUAAGGUUCAUAUCCCUAUUAUCCGUGACCUUGAUCUCAACCUUAGGGCCAUAAGAGCCGAGCGGGAUAGCUUUUUGAUCGAGGUUGAUCGGCUUAAAUCAGAGCUCCAACAUCAAGGAGAUUCCCUCACUAUUGAGAAAACACAUUCUACGUAUAGCAUGAGGAUAAAAACCUUGGAAGAGGCGAAAGUGGGCAUCAUUGACUUUGAUGACAAGAUCGCCAAGGCCCGAGAGCUGGAGUCAACCACCCGAAGGUGCCUCCCGGCUCUACCCGGUGUAAUUGACUCUUCCGAUUUUGGUUUCGAAUUCUCGAGAACUGGGGAGGAACUUGAAGGGGAUAAUGAUGAGGACCAAGAUCCCUAGCCAACGGUAAAUCCGCCUACUUCUCCUGGGGGCGCUGAUGCUUUUCUUCCCCUGAGUUCUGGGGAUGUAGUAGUUUACAUUUUUGCUUUCUUUUCCCUUUGUUGUUUUCUUUUCAUACUUUUGUACUUGUGCUGCUUGGCACGUUUAUUAUAUAAAAGUGCUUUUCGUUUAAGCAUACCGCAAAUUUUACUUUUUUGCGUCGAAUUAUGCAACACUUCGAGUGCAUUUUUCCCCGAUAGCAUUUUGGUUCUGGGCAUAAACUCUUCCGGAACCAACCCUUUACUGUAAUGGUUUCAUAAGAGAGGACCCUCUUAUGUUUACAGUGCUCUUGAAGAGGACGUCUCCUGAUCAUUCCGACACUAGCAUAAGAAGUACUUAUUAGCUUUCAAAUGAUAAAAUUAAUGCAUCGUUUGGACAAGAAACAAGAUAAAAAUAAAAGGACUUUAUUUUAUUCCUUCUAUCUUCAAAAGUACAUAGGCAUUCAUUUUUCUGAAAAGAAAUUGCCAUUACUUAUGGCUAAUUUAUACAACUUAUUUCUAUGGGGUUGGCCGCACAGUCCUCGGUCUCGAUGAUACAUCUUUGUUCUCGAAUUUGAUAGUCCCAGUUUCUGUGGCAAUCAGGUUUCCGUAUUCACAUAACAUUCUCCUCCCCCGUCCAUUGUUUGAAUGUGGAUAAUGCGAAUUGGAACACUAGAAGUAUUGCUCCUUUGAAGAUUCCACUAGUGAAUGGUUGGAUAAUAUUUAGUCUGAUAGCAAGCUUCAUUUCCCGUUAGGAACUUUGCUACCGAGCCAAAGAUUAUCUAACCACCCCCAAUGGCUUGUAGUAAAGGGGUACUCGUGAAUGGUCGGAUAUCUUUUGGUUUGAUAGCAAUAUUUGUUUCCCGUUAGGAGCUUUGCUAUCAAGCCAAAGAAUAUCUAACCAUCUCGUAGUGGUUUGUUAUUUACAUGCCCUAUCGUUUAAAGGUCUUAUUUCUGUUGAUGACACUUCCUUCAUAGUAUGCUUUCCGUUUGUUGUUUUCGGGCCACCAUCCUUAUGUGCGCCAAGUCCCUACAUUCGUCAAGCAACUCCAAUUUUGCUAGCAAUGCUUCGUUGUUUGUUUCUUUGUCUGCCCGAAAAUAUCUCAUGGUAGGUUCUCCCACUUCCACUGUGAUCAAGGCUUCUACUCCAUAUACAAGAGAAAAGGGUGUCUCUCCCGUGCUUGACUUGGCCGUUGUUCGGUAUGCCCACAACACUCUCGGUAACUUUUGAAUAAUCACCUUAUUUGUUGAUUUUGCUUGUCCAUUUGCGCUCGGAUGGUAUGGUGAGGAUGUGAUUCUUUUGAAUUUCAAGUCUUCAAGGAAUUUUGUGACUUUUGCGCCUAUGAAUUNNNNNNNNNNNNNNNNNNNNNNNNNAAGCAUGUCCAAGUGUUUUAUUAUUUUCCAUAAUUUUUGAAGGUUUAAAUUGAUUUAUUUUCUCCCUUUUUAUUGAUAAAAUCCCAAUAAUUAUUUCCAAAAUUAUUAUUUUGAUAAUUCAUCUAGUGAAUUUUUAUAUUUAUGCCAAAAUAUGGCUAAUGUAAUUUUUACAUAUUUUUUACAAUUUUAUUUAGUAUUUUUAAAGCUAAAUAUUAGCCCUUUUUAUGGUUUAAUUAGGUUUUAUAUUCAUAAAAUUGGAUCAUGUAUUUUUAAAUUAUUAUUUAUGUGUUAUAAAUUAUUUUAGCCUUUUUAAAUUAGUUUUCAGAAAUUAUUUAUUAUUUUUAUAAAAUUAAAAGGGAAAAAUGGCUAUUUAACUUAUAGCCAAAAUUGGCUUUAAAAUCUAGCCCAAAUCGAAUUCCCAAUUCCCCAACCCAAUUCCAAUUCAAAUCCGACCCUAACCCAAUUUUAACCCAAGCCCAAACUGGAUCCCUACUUACCCAUUUGAUCAUGACUGUUGAUCAUUCAGAUCAAUGGUCCCCUUUUCCCCUUACCAUUUUUAACCCAAAACGACCCCUAACCUAAUUCUUUUGUUACGGUCCGCUGCCCUUGAAUCCCCUCUCCUCUUAAACUCUCUUUGAAACUUAAAGCCAACCCUAGCCGCCGCCACCCAAACUAACCCUAAUUCCCUUCGAUCCUCACCCAAUCCAUGGACUCCCAUGGCCGUUUGAGAUGUAUACCGGUUGUGAGCAUGUGAUUUUUGCCCUAUAUGAAAUACUCCUUUAAAAUCCCCAAGAAAAUAGGUUUUCUGUUAAUUAUUUGCUAUUUUAGAAAUUUUUUGUAGAAUUUUCUUAAUUAUUUGCAUUUUUCUUUGCAUGUUUAAUUUUUAUUUAAAUCAUAAAAAUUAUCAAAAUAUCAUGCAUUGCAUUUAGGAUUUUGUUUUUACAUUUUUAGAAUUAAUCAGUAAUUAUUUAUUUUAUAAAAAUUUGAAAAUCACAAAAUAGCUCAUUUUUACAUUUUUUGUCUUUUAAUUUUAGUUUAUUGAUUUUCCUCUUUUAAUUUAGAAUUAAGUGAUGUCUACAAUUUUUAUAAUUAUUUAAUUAGUUUAAUUUCAAACUUUUUAGAUAAUUUAGGAUUUUUUAUUAUUAGGAUUUUUAAUUAAAAAAAAAGAAAAAAAAAGAGGAAUUAGGAAAAGAAUUGAAAGAAAAAGAGAUUAUAUGUCUUGAAAAAGUGGGCUGAUUUCACAUUUGGCCCAAAUUGUUCCCCUCAAAUUUGACUCCCCAGCCAAGUGCCCCGCCGGUUCAGCCCAACGAAAAUGGACCUGACCCAUCAUUUGACUCGCCCGGUGCCCUUUAAUAUAUAAACCAUCUUAUAAACAUUUCCCCAAUUCCCAAACCCUAGACCUAACACACAGACGGUGCCUUUGACACUGUUCAUCGUCUUACUCUUCGACUCAGCCCUCAACUCGCCUGGAACUCAGGCGAGUUCACUCAAAUAAUCCCCUCCCCUCCACGUUAUUUGAUUCCCAACGGUUUUUGUCAGAAAGAAUACGAAUAUUCUCUCCAAAUCGCACGAUUUCUGUACUAUAAGGACGAUUUGCUAGAUGAAUGGGAGCCAUGGAUAGAUGUAAAUCGAUCCACGCCUUCCAUUUGUCCCAAAAUUUGUUCAAAAAACUUGAAGAUUUUCGGAUUUUUGGCAAAAGAUUUGAGAUUUUUGAAGGCUAUAUAUAUGAGGUAAGUUCUGUUUGCUAGGUUAGAAGAAAAAAUCAGGAAAAAAAAAUGGAGAAAUCUUCAGUAAAAUUUAGUCGAAAAUUUCUAGGGUUUUUUAGUUAUCACCCUCUUCAGGCCUUCUUCUUUUCUUCAGAAAAUAUACUAAAAAAGGCACAAUGGUCUUAGUUUUUUUUAGUCGAGUUUACUUUAUUUCGAGCUGGUCGUCUUCUAUUUUUAUCUUUGAUUCGUAGCGGUUGUGAACAUCUGCCCAUAUAAUUGAUUGGAACUCGAGCAAGCUUUCUUUCAGUUUUCAGGAAGCGUCAGAGCUCCUCGGGUUCAGCCCCUUAGUAAAUGUCUUAGCUGCCCAUUCAUCUGGCACGGCCGAGCCUGUACCUUCCUGGCCCCUGCAUGGGCCUUGAUGAAAGAACUCGCGAGCAUCUCAAAAGAAUCUAUUGAGUGCUCGGGUAAAAGUGAAUACCGUGUCACGGCCCCUUCGUGAGGGUUUUCCCAAAUUUCUUCAGCAAGACUGACUCAAUCUCGUAUGGAGCUAAGUCAUUUCCUUUCACCGCCAUUGUGUAGGUGGUGAUGUUCUCCUAAGGAUCCAAAGUCUCAUUAUAUUUUGGUACGUCUGGCAUUUUGAACCGCUUCGCGAUUAACUCGGCUUGAACGAAAACUGGGUAUAUUUCUUUGAGUCGGGUCCUUUCAACAAUGGUGUUGCACCCGGAAUUUGGUCCAUUCGGGUGUUUAUUUCCCUCAUAAACAGCAUGAGCUUGAUUUUAAAGGAAUCACUCCCGUUAUUAUUACCAGAUCCGUUGUUGUCCCCCCGGCCCCGUCGAAGCCGACCUCACCCCUCGGGGUAUUGUUAUCAACCCUUUACGCUGUUCGAUUUGUAAGAGCACAGGGAGGAAUCAGACCUCAUCCACUCGCGAUGUUGGAAACACCCAGCAGCGCUUGCCUCAACUUUGUAAUGACAUGGUCUUGCCGCGAGAGAUGGGCCAUAAUAGCCUUUUGUUGUUCUUUCGGGAUUCUCACUGUUUCCGCAACGUGCUCGUCUUUAGUGUCAUCAGGAUUUGCCUCCCGUACGUGUCGUGGAUAUUGCCCGCCAUGGACCAGCAUGACCACGUCCUCCUCAUUGCGGGCGUCACUUAUCGAAUCUUCAUGUUGAGGUGGAUUUCCUUGUGCCUCAACAUUGUGUGCGAUGUUGAUAUUGUUGUCUGCCAUCUUUUACGAUUUUUUUUCUAAAAAACAAAGAAUCAAACAGAUUAGUAAUAGAUGCAAGUAUCAACUCAAUUAUAUAACUGUCUAAGCCUCACGGUGGGUGCCAAACUAUUUACCUUUAAAAUGGUACAGUUGAAUUUAUAACGUUGUUUAUAGAUAAGUGAAUCAAUUUAAUCCCAAAAUAAUAAAUAAAUUAAAUAAAAUGUAAGACUUAGCAUUGAAAUCGAGAUAAGAUAACAAACAACUUGGUUCCAGGAGCAAGACUUCCGAAGACAGCAAUAAGAAUAUCAAUAGACAGAAAAUAACGUAGAGCUUAUAAUAAUGUGUAGCAUACGUUUUUCAGAAAUUUCGUGUCUUACAAUGAAUGUUGAAGUCACUAUUUAUAGCUACACCUAUGGAACAAGGUCCUAGGAUCAAACCUCUCUUAAAUGAUAAUUAUCGGGGCCAUUGAUGAAGGUGUAACGAGAGGCUAUGAAUGCCAAAAUUCUCUGUAACGAUUGUAUAUUUAAUACUGAGGAAUAUUCUUCAUUGAAUGUCAUCGGGUGGCAAAUAUUCGUUUUGUCCUCGUUAGAAAUAUUCCUUUCGGGGUCUGCUCGGUGUCAACCGAAGCUACUGUCCCCGAUCUUGGUUUUCAGUUGCCUCAUUUUCUGUCUGUCUCCGGUUUCACAUUUCACUCUAUUAUUCGAGUAUUUAAUGUGAAUCAAUUUUACUCUAUAUACCCGCUUCACGAAAAAAAAUAACACUAUGUAUAUAGUUAUAUUUUAUCUUUCUUCUAGUAAAUGUUGUUAUAUAACUUUUUUUUACCUCGCGUAGCACAAAGACACUGUCCAGUGCACUGACAAAGUAGGUUCAAAUUUUCUAGAAUACCUAAUUAGAAACGAGUCAGUUGCAUUUACAGGCACUCUUUUUUCCCUAUAUACAACACUCUUUUUCUUCCAAUAUACAUACAACAAAGGAAAUUUUUUACUUCUCCUACAUCACUCUCCUUUUUUCCUAUAUAUAUAUACGCCAUAGGAAAAUUUCUAUUUCUUUUUUUUUAAAGACUAGGAAAGCUUUAUAUACAAAAUUUAGGAAAAGAAAAUUACACCUUUCUAAUAAAAAAUUAUUUUUUUGACAUUUUUGUAUAUUUAUUUCUUUGCAUUUUGAACCUGCUUGAUGAAAAUUCUGGGUCUGCCAAUUGCAUCUACUUACAAGUUAGAAGAUCCUUUCCUCCCCCUAUUUCCCCACCUCUCCCCCUCCCCCCUCCCCCCUCCCCCCUCCCCCCAAGAAAAUCAUCAAUACCGUAAAAAUGAAAAGCAAAAGGAAGAAAAUAGGAGAAGAGCUGGAGAAAAUUAGUAAUAAAUAUUUGUAUAUUAAAGGUCUGUUUGGAAAGUCACCCUGUAAGUGGAAUUAAUGUAAUUACUAAAAUAGUAAUUACACAACCUAGUAAUUACGACGACCUGUUUGUUGUCACAACGUAAUUGUAGUAUAAUUACAAGUACUGUUUGGUUGCAAUGAAAUUACACAGUUAGAUUAAAUUUUAAAUGAAGCAAUUAUCAAAACUUAAAAGUUAAUAUAAUAAAUAUAUGCGUAUAAAUAAUUUUUUAUAAGUAUAAAUGAUAUUAGAUUUGGUAUUUAAGAUGCAUAAUUUUUUUGAAUAUACACUAAUUAGCAAUCAUAUAUUUAUAACUAAUAUUGUAAAAAUAAUUGAUAUAUAUUUUUCAAAUUAAUAAUAUUUAGUUUAAUUAAUUAUAAAAAUUAAAAACAUACAUUUUGUACGAACAUCAUGCAUGGAAUGCAUGUUUGAUAAAAUAAAUUAAUAUUUAUAAAUAUAAUAUCACAACAUUAUGCAAAUGUUUGACAAAACUAAUUUAUCAAUUCUAAGUAAAAAAUAAACAACAUGCAAUGUGAAAUAACAAGUCAAUAGUACUAAUAGAAGUAAAUUGAAACCAUAAAUAUAACACAAUUUUAAAAUCCCAAAAAAAAAUACUUUAACAUAUGUCAAGUUCCAACAUAAUUAAAGUAAGUUCCAAUACAACUUAAGAUUAGGAAACAUAAUAAGUUUAUAACCUCAUUCAACAACGAAAUUCUACUUUAGUGACAUCACUCAUUUUAUGACAAGUUUGUUAAUGACUUAUUAUUUUUAAUAUUGGGAGGUGUAGUUUCAAAAACUAGAAUAAUAACACAAUUACGCUAAAUGAAGAAAUAAAACAAAUAAAAAAUAGAAUACACGAGCAGUUUCAUGGAAUCACAAGAAGUAAAGGUAGAGAAAUAAAAAAAAUAGAUGUACACAAAAAUAUAUUCCAAAAUUAGAAAAGAAUUAAAAAGUAAAAAUAAAAUAAAACAAAAAUUAAAAUAAUGGAAAUAAAAAUUUAUAAAGAAAAAAAAAUUAAAAUAAAAACAAAAAAAUUAAAAAGUAAUCUUGUAAUUACUUUGUGUAAUUACCACGAAUUCUCACCUCCCCUUGAGAAUUGAAGAGUGUAAUUACACUUCUCCAAUAAGACCAAAUUUCAUGUUGACCAAGUAGUUACUUGGCUAUACAAACAUGCUAAACUGUGUAACUAUAUCUAAUUACACCCAAAUUCAAUUCCUACGUAGCUUUUUUUCAAACAGGCUAUAAGUGUAUCUACUAUUUGGAGUUUCAUUUAAAAAAAAAAAAAGAACAAAUAAGUACUUUGAGUAAGAAGUGUGAGCCUGUAAAAUGAUUAGAAUUUGUAUUCCCCUUGGAGACAAAAUCUCCUCGGUUUCCUGGUACAGAAGCAAGAUACAGACGUGACUCAACUCAAACAACAAAACAAACACAAAUAGUUUUGUCAUUAUUCCAAUCUGGUCAACCUUUCAAGCAGAUUAUUCAUUGUUAUAGAGAAUGCAUCUUGGAAUUUCUCCAGCUUAGAUUUUGGAUCUCCGUACACCAAUCCAGGUAAUAAUUCAUAAAUGAUGUAUCUUCUCAUUUUCUCUCUUUCCCCCGCAGGAAUUUUCAUAAGCGUCUCCA
rnacentral:lncRNA from 1 species